CAAUAGCGUAUAUUAAAGUUGUUGCGGUUAAAAAGCUCGUAGUUGGAUUUCUGCCGAGGAUUAACUGUCCGACCAAUGGUUGAGUACAUCCUUAAUCCUGGGCAUCCUCUUGUCGAACGCUUCUGCACUUGACUGUGUGGGGCGGUAGUCAGGACCUUUACUUUGAGGAAAUUAGAGUGUUUCAAGCAGGCGCACGCCUUGAAUACAUUAGCAUGGAAUAAUAAGAUAGGACCUCGGUUCUAUUUUGUUGGUUUCUAGAGCUGAGGUAAUGAUUAAUAGGGAUAAUUGGGGGCAUUCGUAUUAACGCGUCAGAGGUGGAAUUCUUGGAUUGCGUUACGACGAACUACUGCGAAAGCAUUUGCCAAGGAUGUUUUCAUUGAUCAAGAACGAAAGUUAGGGGAUCGAAGACGAUUAGAUACCGU
rnacentral:rRNA from 1 species